CCGCUUUUCCAUAAAAUAAGAAAGAGAGAGAGAGAGAUAGAAGAGGAGGAUAGAGAAGAUGAAUCUCACAGUCGUCGUGUCUUCUUCCUCUCCCUCUCUGCCGUCGUUGUUCUCAAGUUUGAGAGCAUAUGGGCAGGCGGUGGUGACACACCCCAGUGGUUGCGGCGGCGGGCUGGGUCUGUGACAAGGAGGCACCCGUCAUCCCUCCUUCCUCCGCCCGCCCCUUUGACGACGACGACUACCAGCCCUACAACUCCUACUCCUCCUAUUUUGUUGACUCUAGAAGAGGUUGCAGGCUUCUAAGAGGAGACGAUAGAGGUAGAAUCCUCUACUCUACCGUUGCUGUACAACGUCCUCUUGUUUGUCUAUGCUGCCAUAUAAAAGAGAGAGAGAGAGGGGCUAAGAGUAGAACAUUGAUCGAAAUGGAUCAGAAUCUGUCAGCGAGGAUGUCGGGCAACUACAUGGCGGACCUCCUCCCAUGGCCAAAUGAGCCAGCGAAGGAGCGAUUGCCGACCCUCCUCCUGCUGGAGCUUCAAGUCGACAGAUAGGAUCAGUCCGACCAUGUUCGGCAUGCCCAUGACUAAGGAGGAGGCCAAGAUAGUGAACAAGAGAUAGAUUCAAGUCAAAUUUGAUCAAAAUUGCUAUGAGAAACUUGAGCUCAAAAAUUCUCUUUUGCCAAAGAACAAUUUGCUAAACUAGUAGUGGAUGUUGUGUUAAGGUUGAAGGCCACGAUGAACGAUAUGGUUGAUAUGAAGAAGUGCACAAAAGCGAAUAGCCUCAUUUAUGCUGGGUGCAAUGGGAACAGAGGUGAGACAGAUGAUGAGAUUGGAUGCCUCGAUAAUUGAGCAACCUCGGAAUACUGACAGCAACAAAGGAUCUUGGAUUUGGAUCUAUUUGAACCAAAUUUGUGAUCGAAUAAGAGUUUAAACGAGAAGAUCAAGCUGCGGAGUAUUAUGGACCGUUCAUCAAAGAUUGGAUAUAUCUGAACCAUCAAGUGAAGAUCUGGUCAAUCCGACCUAAGGGAGAGUAGAUCCGGACCCUAAAUCAAGAUCAGCACCUUCGGAUCGGAUUUUAAGUGACUUUCCACCGUUGAUCAAGCUCCAAAUCAAUUUUAGCCAUCCGUUCAGAUCUGGAUGUGAUUCAAAACAGAGAAGCUACAGUGUUUUCUCUUCGUUGAUUCCUCCGUACUGUGCUUCGCGUCCCGCGGCGAGCUUCUUCCGGGAUUCCAACCCCAUCUCCACUUCAGAUCCAUUUUCCGGCUAACUUCAUCGGCGACGAUGUUCUCAGAUGCUUAUGACUAGCUUCUGGUGAUCUGACCUCGCUCCAAGGUGUUCCUACGGCGAGAAUUGUGUCUGUGAACCUUUGCUCUGUCGCGAUCGAUUUGGUGGCGUUCCUCCAAUCGGUGGUUCUGCUUCCAUCAGUGAGCAUUGGCGACGUUCCUCCACUGCUACUAGAUCAUUCCCAACGACAUUCCAUCCAUCAUCUUCUCCACAUCAGAUCUGAGGUUGCAGCUCACAGAUUGUCAGAUUUCUUGAGGUUGGCAGCUCUGAUCUUCAUCAGUUUCGCUUGGAGAGGUGUCCGGUGAAUCGGGUAAAGGUUUAGCUGAGUUUAGCUACUGAGAUUGUCUUUAACGAUUGCUAAAGUGAGGUUUCACUGAUGUUUCCUUGUGUGACGACAAGGAGAAGUUGCCAUGAGAAGUGAUUUGGUGUUGAGAUGGUUUAAGGUUUAAUUUUUACAUUCUUUUACUGUUGAAAGAUUUAGAUUUCAGUUUAUAUUAUUUGGAUUCAGUAAUCAUAGUUAUUUUUAGCUUAAGUGUUUUAAUUCAAGUGUUUUUGGUAAUUUAGUUUCAAUUGAUGUUUGAAAUUGUUCUUAAUUCUAAUUUAGCUUAAUUUGUUGCACUGUUGAGAAGUUUAGUUUCUAUAGUUAGGAUUUAAAUUUUUCUUUAGAUCGUAUUCAUUUAUGUCUUGUUGUUCAUUCUUAGUUUAAGUGAGUGUUGAUGGUUUAAUCACAACGUAAGGUGACAAUGCGUUAUGGUUUGAUUAUUGGCACCUAGUUAGGUUUUCUUUAUGCAUUAGAAUAAUUUCUUAAUUGUUGUGCUUUCAUUUGUUAGAUUUAAAUUCAAAGUCUAAACUCCCCCAUUUAUAUAUUAAAAUUACAAAAAUAGGAAUAACUAACAAUCCUAUAUUACAUCUUACCCGUAGUUCCUCGAGAGAUCGAUCCUGGGCUUGUUAUUACAAUAUUAUUGUGCAGUUAAGGGGUUCAGUGAAUAUAUAUUGUUAAUUUGUUUUACGAGUGUGACAGACUUGUUAUCAAAUUUUGGCGUCGUUGCCGGGGAAUACGUUGUUUGAUAAUCUUAGGAUUGCUCUUUAUUUGGAAAACUUUAAAAUUUUUGUUGUUUUGAUUGCUUUCAUGAUUAUAUAUCCAUCUGUUUGAUUUUAUUUGUUCCUGGGUCUUCUAAUUUUAUUUGCUAGUAUU